rnacentral:lncRNA from 1 species
GAAGAACAAAGAAAGAAAAGAAAGAACAAACCCUAGGUGGAGAAUUUCAAGAGAAAAAGUGUGAAAAAUCAAGGAAAACAAGUGAAAAAUGUAGGAUUUCUCAAUUUAAACUUGAAAUCUAUUUUUCUUAAGCAUUUAUCCUUAUUUUUCAUGGUUAAAUUUCAUGUUUUCAUCGUGAAUUUAUGGCUAGCCAAAUGGGUAUGGAGAGAGAAUGAUGUUGGAUUGAUUUGAUUUCAAGUUAUGUUAGUGUUUUUAGUUAGUUUACCAUGUCUAGAAGCAAAACAACAAGAAAAUAAUUCAUUUUCCCCAUCACCCAUCAAUGGUCGAACCUACCUUGUAUUGAGUAAGGAUGAAUUUGAUGUUUUAUUUUAAGAGAAUUGGUUAGAAAAUGAUGAAUUAUGGUGUGGAAAAAUAGUAGGAAAAAUCACGGUGUUAAUGCACCGUUAUUGACUGAAAAUUCUAAGAAGAAAAGUGAAGAUAGUUUUGCCAAAUUUUAGGUUAUUUGACUUGUUUUUGGUGAAUUAAGGUAUUGGAAAAGAAAUGGAGCAAUUUGGAGCUAAAUUAGACUAGUUGGCCAAUUAAUCGGGUGAUAAGAUGAAUUAGGCCAAUACCGAGUUUAAAUGGUUGCCCGCACAUUUUGCAUUCCAUAUCAUACAUUAGUAGUCUAAAUUAGUUUAAUUUCAAUUUAGUACCAAUGUAGUAAGUUUCUCGAUUUUUUACUAUGUCGAGGUGGUGAAUUUUCCGAUAAAAGAAAAGAAACUGUACUCGAGGAUCGAUAGUCGGAGUACUCUAAAAAAAUUCGACUUCCGAAAUAGUGAGUAACAUUAUCAUCAUUUUAAUUAUCUAAAGUGAUAUUUUUAUUCGAUUUUUGUGAAUUUUAUGGAAAAUGUGUUUAAAUGAAAAGAUUUUAUAAAUUGUCUUGAAACUAAAUGAUGGCUUAGAAAAUAGAGUAACUGGAGACCACUUGAUAUGUUGUAUUUUAUGGUUCUAAUUGAUGGCUUAGGAUAAUAUGUUGGCAUGAUUAGCUGGAAUUGUGGUUUGUGAACUAUAUGAAUUGUUCUGUUUUACAUUUACACGCUGGGUAGUAUAAUAUUAGUCAUGUCAUGCUGUCAAAAUUUUAUUGUAUGGUGGGUUUAGCUUGCUGUAGUGGGCGGGUUCUAUGGACCAACCUAUAAAGGGGCACAAAAUCCGAUUAUAUAUGUACCUCGAUCAGAGAGGCGUGUAGAGUAUCUCCUGAGAUAUGGUUAGAGUUCACGUCACAUCGAACCACCUCGUGAUGAUGAACUCCGCUAACGCCAAGGAACGACUAUGUUUUUCAAACUAAAAAUAUGUUUAUGUGUAUACAAAAUUAUUUAACAGCCUUGGCAAACUCGAUUAAAUGCCUCACCAAGGUAUUCUCGAGAAUGAUUUUGGCAAGAGCCAAGCUUUUAAGAUACUCAUAAGCCAUGUUGAUUGUUUAAAUGAAAUGAAUAUUUAUGUUAUGAAUUACAUAUUGAGAUGGAAUAUUUUAAUCGUCUCCAUUUACUCGACUUUAGAUAUUUUAAAUGGUGUUUGUUUACUCAUUGGGUUUUUAUAAUCUCACCACCUUUCUUUCCACCCAUUUCAGGCUCAGUGUAGGCUGUAGAUAGCUGAUAUCGUCGAAGGCUACAUUUGGCUUUACUUCCUCAAAAACUGUAGGUUUGCAACCUUUGUUCAUUUUUGUCAUUUGGGGGUCCACGUGUCACUAUAAAUUAAAUUUUAUACUUUCGUUAUCUAUAUUACAGUAUGUAUGAAUAUUUUUAGUUUUUACGCUACAAAAAUUAUUUACCGGUAACUUUACAAAUAUUGUUUUAUAAGAAAAUAGAAUAUUUUGUUUAAUAUUUUUAUUUUAUUCUAACAGUCAUAAUUUCACUUUAAACGAAUGUUUCAGACAUCUAAAUUUAUUUUUGAUUUUGAAAUAUGUGUUCUGCACUUAUAUACCACAUUAUUAGCUGGUAUCGAAAUUUUCAAGAAAAAUGACCAAAAUACCCCUAUAAGAUCGAAAUCAACUUUUUAUUGUUUUAAGUUGGAAAUAGCUUAAAAUCUUUUAGAACAUGAUAUUUGGCAACGAUUACUCACAGGGGAAAAAGAGAAACUGAUAUUAAAGCCUUGUAGGGUCCUAGUUGGCAUUCCGGGUAAUGAGUGUCUAUCGGGACACCGCAGCAGUUGUCACAGGCUCGAAGAGAGUACUGGGUCGUGACAAUUUGAUUGGUAUCAAAGCUUUUGGUUUUAAAGAUCAGAGUUUUUAGUUUUAAAGUUGUUUUCAAAUUUACAAAGUUAGUGUGGCCCCUAAUUAAGUUAAGUUAAGUUAAGUUGAAUAGAACACAUGUAUCAGCAUAUAGAGCCUAAGGUUGUCUAAACUUGCUUGUUUCCUCUUAUAGAUUAACAUGCCUCCUCGACGCGAACACCCACCUUUCACUAGAUCAGUUGGGAGGAGAAGAGGUCAUUCCCAACGACGUCAGCUAGAUGCAGUAGAGAAGGAAUCGACUGCGUCCACCAUUCGGGUAGCACCUGCUGCUGAGCAGGCCAAGACUCCUCCACAUUCUCCACAUUCUUCACAUCCUCCACCACCUACUGAUAUUCCUGCCAUGUCUCUUGAGGUAGUCUAGGCAUUGGCAACCUUCUUUACCGCUAUUGCUGGCCUGGUUCAAGCUGGUCAAGCUCCUCCUAUAGUACCACCAGUUGCUCCUUCAGUACCACCAUCCCCACCUCUAGUUCAACCACCAAUACAGGAUGUAUCUAUUGCUAAGAAGGGGAAGAAAGCUAGACAAUUGGGUUGCGUUUCUUUUACGAGUGAUUUGGAUGCAACCGUAGCUAAAGAUUGGAUUAAUCAAGUUUUGGAGACACUAUUUGAUAUGAGGUUGGAUGAUGACUUGAAGUUGAUGGUGGCCACGAGAUUACUAGAGAAGAGAGCCCGCACAUGGUGGAAUUUAGUAAAAUCCCGUUCCAUUACUCCUCUGACCUGGUCAGACUUUCUAAGAGAAUUUGAUGGUCAGUAUUUUACCUAUUUUCAUCAGAAAGAAAAGAAGAGAGAAUUUUUGAGUUUGAAACAAGGGAAUUUAACGGUACAGGAGUACGAAGCUCGUUUUAACGAGCUGAUGUUAUAUGUGGCGAAUCUGGUGAAAUUUGAGCAAGAUCAAGCUAGUUAUUUCGAGGAAGGGCUCCGUAAUGAGAUUAGAGAGUGGAUGACAGUGAUUGGUUGAGAGCCACAUAAAGAGGUGGUACAGAUGGUUUUAAGAGCCGAGAAGCUUGCAAAUGAAAAUAAGAGAAUGCAAGCUGAGUUUGCAAAAAGGAAAAACCCGAGUUUAUCUUUCAAUCAACCACCAAAAAGGGGAAAAGACUCAUCUGCUUCAGGGAGUACUACCUCUGUUUCAGUGACAUCUCCUCGACCUCUAUUUUCAUAAUCACAGCAGAGACCUUCGAGGUUUAGCAGAUCUGCUAUGACUGGUUCUAGGAAGAGCUCCGGAGGUUCUGAUAGAUGCAAGAGGUGUGGGAAGAAUCAUUUUGGGUCGUGUAGGGGACUAGUACAAUGUUUUCAUUGUGGUCAGCCAGGCCACAUUAAGAGUGAUUGCCCACAGUUAGGACGGGCUACUAUAACAGCUCCAUCUCCACCAACUCGUAUGGAUAUGCAGAUGAGAGAUUCUUCUAGGUUACCACCGAGGUAGGGAGUAGCUAUACAGUCUGGUGUAAAGAGUAACACCUUGACAUAUCCACCUUCAAAACCAAAAACUCAUACUUUGACAAGAGUUUUUGCUGUGACGGAAGAUAAAGCACGGGUCCAACCUAGAGUUGUGACAAAUACUAUGUCUUUAUUUGAUAAAGAUGGUUAUGUUUUGAUAGAUUCUAGCUUAUAUAGGUCUUAUGUGAGUAUUGGAUUUGCAUCAAUUGCUGGUAGAAACCUGUCACCCUUAGAAGAAGAAAUUGUAAUUCACACCCCUUUAGGAGAAAAACUAGUUAGAAAGAGUUGUUAUAGAGAUUGUGGAGUAAUGGUUGGUGAGGAAGAAUUUAGGGGUGACUUGAUUCCUCUAGAAAUCCAAGAUUUUGAUUUGAUAUUGGGUAUGGACUGGUUAACUGCACAUCGGGCGAAUGUGGAUUGUUUUAGGAAAGAAGUUGUUCUUCGAAAUUCGGAGGGAGCAGAGAUUGUUUUUAUCGAGAAACGUCGAGUAUUACCAUCUUGUGUAAUCUCGAUAAUCAAAGCUUUGAAAUUGGUGCAAAAAGGGUAUCCGACUUAUUUAGUAUACGUGAUCGAUACUUCAAAAGGGGAACCUAAAUUAGAGGAUGUCCCAAAAGUUAGUGAAUUUUUUUAUGUAUUUCUUGAUGAAUUACCGAGACUACCUCUUGAGCGAGAGCUUGAGUUCCCUAUUGAUUUACUUUCAAGUACCGCACCUAUUUCUAUCCCUCCAUAUCGAAUGGCUCUGACAGAGUUGAAAGAACUAAAAGUUCAGCUGCAAGAUUUGGUGGAUAAGGAUUUUAUUCGCCCUAGCUCUUCUCCUUGGGGAGCACUAGUCCUAUUUGUAAAGAAGAAGGAUGGCACUCUUCGAUUGUGUAUCGAUUACCGUCAGCUGAACCGAGUGACCAUCAAGAAUAAAUAUCCUCGACCACGGAUCGAUGAUCUUUUUGAUCAAUUAUGAGGUGCUAUGGUGUUUUCUAAGAUUGAUUUGAGGUUUGGGUAUUAUCAGUUGAAGAUUAAGGAGCAGGAUGUACCCAAGACUACUUUUAGGAUGCGUUAUGGGCAUUAUGAGUUUCUCGUGAUGCCGUUUGGUUUGACUAAUGCCCCGGUAGCUUUUAUGGAUCUUAUAAACAGGGUGUUCCAUCCAUACAUGGAUAAGUUUGUGAUAGUAUUCAUAGAUGACAUCCUGGUUUAUUCAAAGAAUGAUGAUGAACAUGCUGCCCAUUUGCAUAUUGUGUUGCAAACUUUGCACUAGAGAAAACUCUAUGCCAAGUUCUCUAAAUGUGAGUUCUGGUUAAAGGAAGUGGUUUUCUUAGGACAUGUGAUGUCCAAAGCUGGAAUUUAUGUCGAUUCCAAGAAGAUUGAGGCAAUUUUACAAUGGGAGCAACCGAGAACGGUAAUUGAGAUUCGCAGUUUUCUUGGCUUAGCUGGUUAUUAUUGAAGAUUUGUUCAGGGAUUUUCAUUGAUAGCUACUCCUUUGACUCGUCUGACUCGUAAAGGAGUUAACUUUGAGUGGGAUGAUGUUUGUAAGAGUCGAUUUCAGGAGCUAAAGAACCGGUUAACCUCCACUCCCGUUUUAACACUUUCGGUUGGUGGGAAAGAAUUUAUGGUAUACAGUGAUGCCUCUAAGUUGGGAUUAGGGUGUGUAUUGAUGCAGGAUGAAAAAGUAAUAGCUUAUGCUUCCCGGCAGUUGAAGAAGCAUGAGACGAAUUACCCUACCCAUGAUUUGAAGUUAGUAGCAGUAGUUUUUGCAUUGAAGAUUUGGAGGCAUUAUUUAUAUGAUGAGCGUUGUCGGAUUUUUACUGAUCAUAAAAGUUUGAAAUAUUUGCUCACCCAAAAAGAACUUAAUUUGAGACAAAGACGGUGGCUAGAGUUGAUUAAGGAUUAUGACUUAGUGAUUGAUUAUCAUCCGAGAAAGGCAAAUGUUGUAGCGGAUGCCUUAAGUCGUAAAUCCUCAUCAUCGUUAACAACGCUUCAGAGUUCUUAUUUUUUGAUGUUACUUGAGAUGAAAUAUCUAGGGAUCUAGUUGAAUAAUGGUGAGGAUGGAACCUUACUUGCUAGUUUGGUUGUGAGACCUUCAUUGUUGAAUCAAAUCAAAGAAUUACAGAAAUCCGAUGAUUGGUUUAAGCAGGAAGUUCAAAAGCUGCAAGAUGGAGAAACUAGUGAGUUUAAACUCAAUGAUGAUGGUAAUUUGAUGUUUAGAGACCGGAUUUAUGUUCCUAAAGAUGAUCAGUUGAGCUGAGCUAUUUUAGAGGAAGCUCAUUCUUUUGCCUACACUUUACAUCUCGAAAGCACCAAGAUGUAUCGGACUAUUAAAGAAAGUUAUUGGUGGUUGGGUAUGAAACGGGACAUAACAGAGUUUGUAGCAAAAUGUCUCACAUGCCAACAGAUCAAGGGGGAGCAUAAAAAACCAUCAGGUACUCUUCACCCUUUAUCGAUUCUAGAAUGGAAGUGGGAACACGUGACUAUGGACUUUGUAUUGGGUUUGCCACGGACACAGAGUGGGAAGGAUGCUAUUUGGGUGAUUGUAGAUAGAUUGACUAAGUCCGCCCAUUUCCUAGCUAUCCAUAACACGUAUUCCAUUAAGAAGCUGGCUAAGCUUUAUAUAGAUGAGGUUGUGAGAUUAAAUGGAGUUCCAGUUUCUAUUGUGUCAGAUCGAGACCCUCAGUUUACUUUUCGAUUUUGGCCGAAAUUCUAAGAAGCUCUCGAAACUAAUUUGAGAUUUAGCAUUGCCUUUCAUCCGCAAACAGAUGGUCAAUCCGAAAGGACUACUCAAACCUUGGAGAAUAUGUUAUGGGCUUGUGUCAUUGACUUUAUUAGGAGUUGGGACAAACACUUGCCAUUAGUGGAGUUCGCAUAUAAUAACAGUUAUCAUUCUAGUAUUGGAAUGGCACCAUACGAGGAAAGCCUCAAAAAAUUGUAAAAAGUUAAUAGUGUACUUAAUAGUACAAUUAAGUUGAAUUAAGCCUUGAACUAGAUCAAAUGAAGAUUUUAAGGUGAAAUUUAAAAUUUUAAACUCCCAAAAUAACUUAAAAUGGUGAUUCGGAGUUCGAUGACUGAUUUGGAGUCAAAUUGGAAUUUUCAUGAUCUGGGGGUAAAAUGGUCAUUUCGCCACCCAAGGUUAAGAUGUGGGAGUUAGAUGAAAUUUUUGACUAAGAUUGGCUAUUUAGAACAUAAUUUGAGUUUGAGAAGUGAAAAAUUUUAAUUCCGACAUUUUUCUGAGCAUAGAGGUAAAAUAGUCAUUUUGCCACCACAGAGGCAAAAUUGUAAUUUUACACCACCCAACACUUGUCCAGCACAUGAAUUUUACCCAAUAUUAUUAUGGAUAAUUCAGAAAAUUUAAGUGAUUAAAAGAGAUUGCUUAAUGAGUAAGUAUGACACAUGGACUAAUGGAAUGGUGACAUGUGCCAAGUUUAUAUCCAUUAAAUAUUUAGCUUAAAAAUCAGCACAUAUAUCAGCCCAUUUCUCUUCAUAUGGCCGGCCAAAGGAAGAACAAAGAAAGAAAAGAAAGAACAAACCCUAGGUGGAGAAUUUCAAGAGAAAAAGUGUGAAAAAUCAAGGAAAACAAGUGAAAAGGUAGGAUUUCUCAAUUUAAACUUGAAAUCUAUUUUCCUUAAGCAUUUCUCCUUAUUUUCCAUGGUUAAAUUUUAAGUUUUCAUGGUUAAUUCAUGGCUAGCCGAAUGGGUAUGCAAAGAGAAUGAUGUUGGAUUGAUUUGAUUCCAAGUUAUGUUAGUGUUUUUAGUUAGUUUACCAUGUCUAGAAGCAAAACAACAAGAAACGAAUUCAUUUUCCCCAUCACCCCUCAAUGGCCGAACCUACCUUGUAUUGAGUGAGGAUGAAUUUGAUUUUUUAUUUUAAGAGAAUUGGUUAGAAAAUGAUGAAUUAUGGUGUGGAAAAGUAGUAGAAAAAAUCAUGGUGUUAAUGCACCAUUAUUGACCGAAAAUUCUAAGAAGAAAAGUGAAUAUGGUUUUGCCAAAUUUUAGGUUAUUUGACUUAUGUUUGGUGAAGUAAGGCAUUGGAAAAGAAAUGGAGCAAUUUGGAGCUAAAUUGGAUGCGUUGGCCAAUUAAGCAGGUGAUAAGAUGAAUUAGGCCAAUACCGAGUUUAGAUGGUUACUCGUGCAUUUUGCAUUCCAUAUCAUGCAUUAGUAGUCUAAAUUAGUUUAAUUUUGAUUUAGUACCAAUGUAGUAAGUUUCUCGAUUUUGUACUAUGUCAAGGUGGUGAAUGCUCCAACAAAGAUAAAGAAAUUAUACCCGAGGAUCGAUUGUUGGAGUUUUCUAAAAAAAUUCGACUUUCGAAAUAGUGAGUAACCUUAUCAUCAUUUUAAUUAUCUAAAGUGGUCUUUUUAUUCGAUUUUUGUGAAUUUUAUGGAAAAUGUGUUUAAAUAAAAAGAUUUUAUAAAUUGCCUUGAAAUUGAAUGAUGGCUUUGAAAAUAGAGUAACUGGAGACCACUUGUUGUGUUCUAAUUUAUGGUUCUAAUUGAUGGCUUAUGAUAAUGUGUUGGCAUGACUAGUUGGAAUUGUGGUUUGUGAAUUGUAUGAAUUGUUCUGUUUUACAAUUACAGGCUGGGUAGUAUAAUAUUAGUCAUGCAUGCUGUCAAAAUUUUAUUGUAUGGUGGGUUUAGCUUGUUGCAGUGGGCGGGUUCUGUGGACCAUUCUAUUAGAGGGGUACGAAAUCCGAUUAUAUAUGUACCUCGAUUGAAAAGGCGUGUAGGGUAUCUCUAGAGUUAUGGUUAGAGUUCACGUCACACCGAACCACCUUGUGAUGAUGAACUCCGCUAUCACCAAGGAACGACUGUGUUUUUCAAACUAAAAAUAUGUUUAUGUGUAUACAAAAUUAUUUAACAGCCUUGGCAGACUUAGUUAAAUGCCUCGACCAAGGUAUUCCCGAGAAUGAUUUUGGCAAGAGCCAAGCUUUUAAGAUACUCAUAAGCCAUGUUGAUUAUUUAAAUGAAAUGAAUAUUUAUGUUAUGAAUUACAUAUUGAGAUGGAAUAUUUUAAUCGUCUCCAUUUACUCGACUUUAGAUAUUUUGAAUGGUGUUCGUUUACUCACUAGGAUUUUAUAAUUUCACCACCUUCCUUUCCACCUAUUUCAGACUCAGUAUAGGCUGUAGAUAGCUGAUAUCGUCGAAAGGCUACAGUUGGCUUUACUUCCUCAAAAACUGUAGGUUUGCAGUCUUCGUUCAUUUUUGUCAUUUGAGGGUCCACGUGUCACUGUAAACUAAAUUUUAUACUUUGGUUAUUUGUAUUACAGUAUGUAUGAAUUUAUUUACCUUUUACGCUACAAAAAUUAUUUACCGGUAACUUUAUAAAUAUUGUUUUAUAAGAAAAUAGAAUAUUUUGUUUAAUAUUUUUAUUUUAUUCUAAUAGUCAUAAUUUCACUUUAAACGAUUGUUUUAGACAUCUAAUUUUUUUUCAUUUUGAAAUAUGUGUUCUGCAUUUAUAUACCACAUUAUUAGCUGGUUUUGAAAUUUUCAAGAAAAAUGACCAAAAUACCCUUAUGAGUCAAAAAUCAACUUUUUAUUAUUUUAAGUUGGAAAUAGCUUAAAAUCUUUUAGAACAUGAUAUUUGGCAAUGAUUACUCACAGGGAAAAUGAGAAACUGAUAUUAAAGCCUUGCGAGGUCUUGAUUGGCAUUUCGGAUAAUGAGUGUCUAUCGGGACACUGCGACGGUUGUCACGAGCUCGAGAGGAGUAUCGGGUUAUGACAAAAAAGACUGCUUCAAAAGACAACACUAAAGGAAAAUGUUUCCAUUGUGGUGUGAAAGGACAUUGGAAGUGAAAUUGCUAGGUCUACCUUGAAGAAAUCCAGAAGAAUAAACAAAGUAUGGGUUUUCAAAAUAUGUUAGAAGCCUGUUUAGUGGUUGAUUCUACAAAUACUUGGAUAGUCGAUUCUGGAGCCACUAACCAUGUUUGCAUUUCUUUACAGGGAUUUCAACAAAAGAGAAAACUGAGUAAAGGGCAGUUUCGGAUGAGGAUGGCAAAUGGCACCUUCGUUUCAGCAUUAGCAGUGGGAGCCAUUAUUCUUCAAUUUCCUUAUGGUCGUAGCUUAGUUUUGGAAAAUGUUUAUUACAUUCUAAAGACUUAUAGAAAUUUGAUUUCUUUCUUUUGUCUAAUAAAG